rnacentral:snoRNA from 1 species
UGGCGAUGAUGAAAAAAAAAGGCCGGACUUACGGCUGCUACUAAACAGUUUGGUAGUAGAUUGAUGAUAUUUUUCCAAAAGGUGUUUUACUUUGGAGCCAA